rnacentral:lncRNA from 1 species
AGGAGCAUGGAGUCAACAUUGUGUAUAGGUUCACAUUCCUCUUGGUAAGAUAUGAGAGAAAAACAUAACUAAAGGACUUUUCAAGACUACUUUAGAAUUUUAGAUAUUCAAUGGACUUCAUCGUGCUUCAAAUGGGCCUUGAAUUAUGUAGAUUAGUAGCAUUUGAGUACCCAUUGCGAAUGAGAUAAUUAUCCUCUAGGUUAGAGGUUAGUGUUACAGAACUGAGCAAACAAAAUAUGUUUGAGAUUCUGACUUAAUGAUUUGCAUGUAAAUCCUUGAGUCUGAUGGAGAUAGGUAUCACAAUGUCAAAC